rnacentral:rRNA from 1 species
UGGGGAAUAUUGCACAAUGGGCGCAAGCCUGAUGCAGCGACGCCGCGUGGGGGAUGACGGUCUUCGGGUUGUAAACCUCUUUCACCAUCGACGAAGGUCCGGGUUUUCUCGGAUUGACGGUAGGUGGAGAAGAAGCACCGGCCAACUACGUGCCAGCAGCCGCGGUAAUACGUAGGGUGCGAGCGUUGUCCGGAAUUACUGGGCGUAAAGAGCUCGUAGGUGGUUUGUCGCGUUGUUCGUGAAAUCUCACGGCUUAACUGUGAGCGUGCGGGCGAUACGGGCAGACUAGAGUACUGCAGGGGAGACUGGAAUUCCUGGUGUAGCGGUGGAAUGCGCAGAUAUCAGGAGGAACACCGGUGGCGAAGGCGGGUCUCUGGGCAGUAACUGACGCUGAGGAGCGAAAGCGUGGGGAGCGAACAGGAUUAGAUACCCUGGUAGUCCACGCCGUAAACGGUGGGUACUAGGUGUGAGUUUCCUUCCUUGGGAUCCGUGCCGUAGCUAACGCAUUAAGUACCCCGCCUGGGGAGUACGGCCGCAAGGCUA